rnacentral:rRNA from 1 species
GAAAGGCGCAACGACUUGGGCGCUGUCUCGACCAUGGACCCGGUGAAAUUGCACUGGUCGUGAAGAUGCGACUUACCCGCGGAAGGACGGAAAGACCCCGUGAACCUUCACUGCAGCUUGGCAUUGGCCGCUGGUCCCGCGUGUAGAGGAUAGGCAGGAGGCAUCGAUCCGGAGGCGCCAGCCCCCGGGGAGCCGCCCUUGGAAUACUGCCCUCGCGCGACCGGCGUCCUAACCCGAGGCCGUCAACCGGCUCGGGGGACCGUGCCAGGCGGGCAGUUUGACUGGGGCGGUCGCCUCCUAAAGGGUAACGGAGGCGCGCGAAGGUCCGCUCGGGACGGUCGGCAACCGUCCUUUUGAAUGCAAGAGUACAAGCGGGCUUGACUGCGAGGCCCACAAGCCGAGCAGGUGCGAAAGCAGGCUCUAGUGAUCCGGCGG